AGAGUUUGAUCCUGGCUCAGGACGAACGCUGGCGGCGUGCCUAACACAUGCAAGUCGAGCGGGACAUGCGACGGAGACAAAGUUUUCGGAUGGAGUCGAAGAUGCAUUGUUCUAGCGGCGACGGGUGAGUAACGCGUGAGCAACCUGUCCCUUACAGGGGGAUAACACAGCGAAAGUUGUCUAAUACCGCAUGAGACCACAGUGAGACAUCUCACAGGGGUCAAAGGAGCAAUCCGGUAAGGGUGGGCUCGCGUCCGAUUAGAUAGUUGGUGAGGUAACGGCCCACCAAGUCGACGAUCGUAGCCGACCUGAGAGGGUGAUCGGCCACAUUGGGACUGAGACACGGCCCAAACUCCUACGGAGGCAGCAGUGGGGAAUAUUGGGCAAUGGGGGAAACCCUGACCCAGCAACGCCGCGUGAGGAAGAAGGUUUUCGGAUCGUAAACCUCUGUCCUUGGUGAAGAGGAAGAGACGGUAGCCAGGAGGAAGCCCCGGCUAACUACGUGCCAGCAGCCGCGGUAAUACGUAGGGGGCGAGCGUUUCCGGAAUGAUUGGGCGUAAAGGGCGCGUAGGCGGCCCGGUAAGUCUGGAGUGAAAAGUCUGCUUUUAAGGUGGGAAUUGCUUUGGAUACUGUCGGGCUUG
rnacentral:rRNA from 1 species